rnacentral:lncRNA from 1 species
AGCGGGAGGCGGCGCAGGCCGCGGCGGGGCCUGCAGCGGCCGCCGACCCCGCAACGCGGGGGAGAGAGCCCUGGAGCGGCUCCGCCUCGGGCUCGGCUGCUGGGGGCGUCCCCUCAGCUACUUACCGGGGGAGAAGAGAGCCGGGAUCCCGGGACCCGGGGCUGGACCGCGGAGAUGCCCCAAACUGACACGGCCGCCAUCUUGGAGACAGUGCUGGACCUACAAACUCAAUAUCCUGAUACUGAGAUCGGUAACCCCUCAUCUAUUUCCAAAAUCAGAAGAGAAAUCUGGAGAUACAAGAUAAUUAUUAUAAAGCAAGGACUUCUGGGAAGAUGGCAGAGUGGUGAACAGCAGAGAAACAGCCUCUCCAAGAUCUGGUGUCCAGACCCUGGAAUACAAUGUGAGGAAGAGAAGAAAAAGGGAAAUGGAUCCCUGGGACCCAGCAAGGAUCAGAAGCAAGAAUUGAAGCCCACAGGGAGAUCAAGGAAAGAGACUUCAGUGAAGAAGGUGGUGGCAAGAGGUACUUUCUCCCUGAUCCCUGACUGACUUCAUGGGAAAGGUGGCUCAAACCUGCAGAUGCACAGAG